UUCUGAUCUCCGUUAGAUAUGUUUGAUUUUCUUGGUCGUUUGUGAAUAAUCGACCGAGAAUCGAACAUAUUAUUACGGUGAUUAGAG
rnacentral:pre_miRNA from 1 species